rnacentral:rRNA from 1 species
UAGGGAAUCUUCGGCAAUGGACGGAAGUCUGACCGAGCAACGCCGCGUGAGUGAAGAAGGUUUUCGGAUCGUAAAGCUCUGUUGUAAGAGAAGAACGAGUGUGAGAGUGGAAAGUUCACACUGUGACGGUAUCUUACCAGAAAGGGACGGCUAACUACGUGCCAGCAGCCGCGGUAAUACGUAGGUCCCGAGCGUUGUCCGGAUUUAUUGGGCGUAAAGCGAGCGCAGGCGGUUAGAUAAGUCUGAAGUUAAAGGCUGUGGCUUAACCAUAGUACGCUUUGGAAACUGUUUAACUUGAGUGCAAGAGGGGAGAGUGGAAUUCCAUGUGUAGCGGUGAAAUGCGUAGAUAUAUGGAGGAACACCGGUGGCGAAAGCGGCUCUCUGGUUUGUAACUGACGCUGAGGCUCGAAAGCGUGGGGAGCAAACAGGAUUAGAUACCCUGGUAGUCCACGCCGUAAACGAUGAGUGCUAGGUGUUAGACCCUUUCCGGGGUUUAGUGCCGUAGCUAACGCAUUAAGCACUCCGCCUGGGGAGUACGACCGCAAGGUUG